AUUAAUAUCUAUUUCUAGUACCUGUUCACUUAUUUCUGUUCUUAAUUGUAUAUGCACCUACAAUUUGGUUUUCAACAAGUCCCUAAAAAACCAAUAUGGCGUCGUUGUCAAAUCACCGGCCAAAUCCAUAAAGGACAAAGGAUACUGAAACAUGAGGACAAAGAAAAAUGCCAAGGAAACAUGUCAAUUACGAAUCGACGAGCGGAACAAAUGGUGCGCGCUCGUGUCUAUAGAAAUCACCUGAAUUAACCGUACAAUAAUGUACGAAGAGACCGGAGCAUCGAGUCCGGUCCCACGAAAAGGGGAACAACGUCGCGAUAUAUAUACGUGGGAAUACCUCUUCGGAAAGAGCUCAUCAUCGUCAGCAAUCAGCGAUUGCCGCGUGCAGCUGCACCAUCAUCGGAAAUAAACGAAAGUAAGUCGAAUAGGAAGAUCUCUCGGUUCGAUGGUGAGAGAAGAGGUGGGAGGCGCGUUGAGGACAGGCCCUAAAGAGCGCAGUACGCGCAGCUUCCGUGCGCAUCUUCCCUGUGUGAGUGAUAAUAGCGGUGAUGGAAACGACGUGGACGUUUACGACGGCAGCGACGGAGGUGCAACUGCUGUUUUGCAAUACGAGUGCGUCGUGAUAAUGGCAGGAGAAACGGUCUAGGGAGAGAGACACAAAGCGGGAAAGGAGAAAAAAACAAACAAUCGAGGGGGGAAAACAAAUCGAGAAAAAGAGAAGCUUGAACUGGAGGGCAGAAAAAGAAGAAACCGGGUACACAUGUGCAGCGGUAGCCGGAAAGAUAAAGGGAUAUGGAGAAGAUACACUAUAUAUGUACUCUCUCGUUUUCGCUGGAAUAUUAUUGGAAACGAGCAUCCAGGCUGGACAUUGAACUCGUGCGUGGUGUUUGUUUCGAACACAACGCGCGACGAGAGAAAAUGGAAGAAAAAAAUGGUCGCGAGUUGAGCGCUGAAGCCGUAUCCGAACGGAGGGACAACGACUUGAGCAGAAAGCAUGAAAAUCCGAUAUGCUAUAGCAGAAUUAAAUAUCUUCUGGCGUAAAAUCAAUGCAGGCGGUCGGUACUGAUUAAUUCGCGGGUCCACGGUUCCGCAGAUGGCGCGGUGAUCGUGGUACACCGGUGUGGCCCGAUGACGAUCGUUAAAAAACGCCCGCGCGCAUUCAAAAGCGCAUAAUAAUCGGGAAAAAGAGAGCGAUCCGACGCCAUGGAAUAUCGCGGAGAAGCGUGUAUCAAUUUCGAGAGAUGAAAAGUCGAGCAGAGGCGGAAGGUCGGUGGAGUACAAAUUACCGUGGGGCAGCUGCCCUCCGUUUGCGAUUCUCGUCGACUCGCGUGUAUAUAACACGAGACGAUGCGCGCAUGCGCGUUCUCUGUGUACGUUCGCUUGCACAUCGAGGGGAGCUAGGGUUAAAGAGGGAAAACAAACUGACGCGAAAGGGAAAAAUAAAUGCGCGGAGGUAAGACGAGUACAAGAGGAAAAAGGAAGAAAGGCGAGAAUCCUAAGCGAAAGAGAGAUUACCUAGCAAAGUAAUUUUCUUUAGAUGAGAAGAGCCCCCGAGAGAAAUAGACUCUUCGAUAAAGCUGCAGAAAACAGUCUAGGAAAAAUCGGACUAGAGAAAAACAUUGACCAAACAUUGUGGGACGAUGUGGAAAAUACGAAACCUGAAGAAAAAGGGCCAGAGUACUCUACAUAGGAGGAGGAGGAAACAGAUUGAAAGAGAAAAAGAUGAGAUGAGAAGGAACGAGAAUGUAAAAGAGAAGCCAGAGAGGGAAUCAGGGAGUGGUACAACAGCGAACCGUCAAGGAGGGGGGCAUGCGUGGGGUUAGAGAGGGAGAGGGAAAUAGAGGGAGCAUGAAAAACGAGAAAGAGCGAGAACAAGACAAAGUCGAGUGGAGCGGGGAGAGAAGGGGAGGAGAAGGAUAAACGGAGGGUGAAUGGGUGGGUGGAAGGGAGAAGAAACAUGCCAGAGGACGAUGAACUCUGGCGGUAGGCAGCUUCCGUCGCCUGGCAACGUUCUCCUCCCUUUUCCUCCUCCUCUCCCUGAGGCUCCAAGCCGUUAUGUCGUGGUAUCGUACGUAGGCAGUCCUCGUCAUGGACGUAGUAGUCGUGUCAUCGUCUUCGUCAGUGACGAUCAUGGUAGUCGUUGUUGUAUUUUCACGUAGUCGUGGCUCGCAGCUUGCGCUGCGUAUUGAUCGUACGGGAUGCUGCUGCUAGCUGCUGCUGGUUGCUGGCUGCUCCAGCACCGGCUAACAGUGAGCUUUAGCCACAGCCCUGCACCAAGGACCAAUAGGACCACCACUUUCUCUCUCUUUCUCUCUCUUGACUUUCUACUCAGCUUAUACCCACCCAUUAUGGUUGCCCAAAAAUGAAAGUAAAUGCAAUAAACUAUUGUUACUGUAUCUUUUUAGACGAUAGAAAAACUUCUGGUUGGUUAAUUUGAUAGGUGUGGUAGUUGGAUGAUUAUAGAAAAACAUAGGGAUGUGAUAAUGAAUGUUCUUUCAUACUGCUUCAUUUCUUGAAACUGUAGAAGAAUAAAAUAACGAUUUGUAUUUAGAAGAGAAAAUGUGUCCAAGUUGAAAUUUGGAAAUGUUACAGACAUUAAAAUACUACAAAAUACUAUAAUACUUAAAUGCAGAAGAUUCAUAUAGAGAUGAUAAUGAUAUAAAGAUCUAAAUAUAUACGUAAAAUGCAUGAGAAAAUUCUGGCCAUAAUUUUAUACAAUAUCGUUCACAUACUCAAAAUCCAUUAGCCAUGCAUCACAUGUGCUACAUGUGUGCAAAAUGUGAACAUCAAAUCAAUGACCCUACCGUGUCUUCUCCCCAUCAAACGUCGAACCUUCGUCUAAUUAUACCGCAAUAUAUCUCAAAAUAACCCAACUUCAUCAUCAGCUAACUACACCUAUCACUUGUACCAAUACUACGCUCUUUCUUUACCAUAUAUAAAAUAGGAAAGCGACAUGUUUCACAACAUAACCAUAUUUCUUCAACUAGACACGAGGCAUACAAAUGAGGCACAGAUACAUCUAACUCAUGACACGACAAUAAUACAUUGGCUUCUAAAAGGAUUAAAAGUAAUGUAUGGAACAUACAAAGGGGACAUAAAUACGUCCACAACAUUUCUAUUGUUCGCCAAUUGCAAGAGGAAAGCGCGCGUUCACCGACACCUACACGUCGUGCAGAAAUGUCGGACGGCUAUCAAUGGUUGGAACACGUCGUCUCGAUGAAAAUACCAGCGAGAGGUGAAUGGUUCGUGGCACGUGAAAAUAGUUUCACUACACAAGGCUAUGUCGUAAAGUCGGCCGCUACCGCGAAGAACCGAUCGAGCCGAAAAUGAAAGCAAACGCGAGCCGUGACUGCCAAGUCCAACGAACCUGCCACUUGGCAGCCGACGUCCGUGCUCAAGAGUGUCUUUAAUACACUGAACUCGCUAAACCUAAAUCCAUUUUAACCGCGGAGUGUCGGUGCCCGAUGUUGGCACAGAAAACUGUCACUGGCAUCCAUGAAAUUGCCGGUGAUCCGUUCGACACGGUUACCGAUGAGUCAGCCGAUUUUCUUGAAUGAAGUUUCUUUCUUACCCCGUGUUAGCGAGACUCGUUGAAUUAGGGGAUAGAUAGGACGAUUCUAAUCGGACGUGAAACACAUACACGAAAUUAUUAUUUGAUGUACAGGGAUGAGUCAUGUAUAUGACUCACGAGGGAAUAGAUGCACAGGGUGUAAUUCAUGCAUGAGCUCCGUUGCAACUAAGUUUACAAAGAGUCUCGCGGUAAUUUAUAGCCACGUAAUACGUGAAGAACUACUUUGAGAGAAUGACAGCGAAGGGAAGUUGUAAAGCAAAAUAUGUUAUUGAUAGUUUAUAGUUACAGGUCGUUAAAUGUGGCACGAGGUUUGUAGAAGGAAAGUGUCAAAACAUGAGGAGUGAAGAAGACAUUUUGUAUAGCUGAAUGUGUUCUACUUUUCUGUAACACGUUUUUUACACGCCUUUUUAAAAUUAGAUUAAUGGCUACAAUCUUAUUGUAAUUUUAUAUAAUGCACUUGUAAUCUUAUCCACCAGAAUCUUUUUUUUGCUAAUGAAACUGGCGACUAAUGAAACGUAAUAUAAUAUACAUCGUUAUAAGGA